rnacentral:misc_RNA from 1 species
AAGUCGUAACAAGGUUUCCGUAGGUGAACCUGCGGAAGGAUCAUUAGAAAUCACCGGCCUAGCCGGUAUAAAAUUCUAAUACCUUGUGUGCAAUCAAUGGAAAAAAGGAGAGAAAAUUGGAUGCUUUUUGUAUCCUUACCUCUCUAAAAAAAUUUAUAAACUCCAUCAAAUUUUGAAUAAAACUAAUUUUUUUAAUAAAAUAUAUUUAUACAACUUUCAACAACGGAUCUCUUGGCUCUC